rnacentral:rRNA from 1 species
UACCGAGGGGGCAAGCGUUAUUCGGAAUUAUUGGGCGUAAAGGGCGCGUAGGCGGCUUCGCAAGUGGAAGGUGAAAUCCCUCGGCUUAACCGAGGAACUGCCCUCCAAACUGCGUGGCUUGAGUCCGGGAGAGGUGAGUGGAAUUCCCAGUGUAGCGGUGAAAUGCGUAGAUAUUGGGAGGAACACCAGUGGCGAAGGCGGCUCACUGGACCGGAACUGACGCUGAGGGGCGAAAGCGUGGGGAGCAAACGGG